ACUUAAAGAAUGCCAUGUCCUCAGGGCACAAAAGAAAAAGAGUUAGAGAACAUCCCUGAUUAUCGGCAUUGAAAAGCUGAAGCAUCGUGAGAGGCGGCGAAAAGUGAGGUUUGCAGCCUUUUGCAUAGUAGAAACGACAACGCUGGAUCUGGGUAACGCUGGCAGCAAGGUCAGAGCAGAAAUUGCAGCGCUGAAAACAAAGUCAUUAACACCCAAAAAAAAUCAAAGUAUCCGCACAAGCAACCAAAACUUAGGAAAACACAAAAAAAAAAAAACGUAAAGCAAAAAAAAAAAAACAAGAAAAACAAAAACACAAACAAACCAACGGUGGGUUGCCUCCCACAAAGUGCUAGUUUUAAAGUCGCCAGCCCGACGUAGAGGAUCCCUUAACCAAAAUCGCUAUGAAACGUCAGCUGAAUUAGUCCUCGUGAAAGCACAUCAUCC
rnacentral:lncRNA from 1 species